UUCACUAAAAUUUGUAUGGAGUUGGAACGUUUGCCUACGUUUGCCGCUAGGGGCGCUGUUCUCCAUACAAAUUUUAGUUA
rnacentral:pre_miRNA from 1 species